CGACGAGGAAAUCACGGUUUAUUGACAAAACAAUCCAACACGUAGCUGUCUACUAUUACUGAGAAAUCAAUCAGAAGAUGUUCCAAACCCUUCUGAAACUCAAACAAACGACUGUUGACGAGGGAAACGUGAGAGUUGUGUUCUUCUCUGAGUGAACACAUUAUCAUUAAUCAACACUGAGGGUCUGCCCGGCCAUAUGUUGUGACGUGUUCAGCCACACCCCCUCCUGAAUCUAUAGGCGCACGGGCUUCAUAUGUGGAGGAACAUCGUGUGCCUUCAGUGUUCUGCCACCCUCAACUCACGGAGGUCCAUAUCAUCAGCUGUUUUUGGAGUUUGCCUUGGAGCAACAACGACGGAGUCGUCUUUCCUUUUCCUGAACGAGCGCGCGAUUGCAGCAAGGCUCACAGCUCGGCAGGGAAGUUCGUUUCAGUCGUGUGGAGCACUAAAACAGCAGUGAUGAUCAUCAGACUCGGCAGACUGACGCCUGGAUACUUUCGCCUUCUGCAGAGGCAGGUAGCAGGAGAGGUUCAGGCCCCGGCUCACGACCGCUCCGUCAACCAGAUCGCCAUGAUGCUGGCCAUCAUGGGCCUUAGCAUGUCCUACUACAGUGCCAAACAGAUGACCGAGAAGGUCCACCAUGAGCCCACCCCGUGAGGAUGCGCUCCCGUCCCUCGGAGUGACGGCAUCCGGAGAAGACGAUGCCAAACGGAAGAUGCAGUUGAAGAUGUUCAGACUACCCCUUUCUAUAACUGUUGGAUUUCCAGGGAUCACACACCAUGGUGCUUCUGCUUAGGGGUUCUCUUGCUUUAGUUUCGCUCUCAAUGGGGUCUGGAAGGGGUUGAAUGUUGUGGCCCGAGUUUCGAUAGCUGCCGUGGUACAUGCAUAUCAGAGAGUCAGUCAAUUCUGCUGUAGGUUUACUGGGGGGGAAAAAACUCGAGCUCCAUCAUUGAUGCCUAGAUAGGGAGCUUAACUCUGAGCCAUAAUGUCUUUUAAAGGGAAGGACCUCUGCAUUUGAGAUGUACCAAGCAAGUAUUGAAAGCAGGGCCAUUGCACAAGGGUGAAAUGCUGGAUUUAGUUCAGAUGUCCCUCAAAAAAAGAUCCUAUUGAAGAACGUCACGAGACUUGAGGACUUAUAACGGAGGCAUUGCUCUACUAAUCGUUUUAGACACUUUAUUGCAGGACUGUUUGAGGACCUUAUGUUAAAGUUACUUAUCCUUCUUUCAUCACAACAAACAAUAACUUCAUAUCAACUUGUUUGUCCUGGCAAAUGGCUUCAAUCUUAGAUUGUCAAAGCCGACUUUUCUAUGUGCAAUAGCAUGAGCUUAAAGCAGUUUUUUUUUUAGUGAAGCCAAUCCAUAUGUUGUUUCUACUUUUUAUGAUAAUGUGAUUCAUGAUGAUGAUGAUGAAUGUAUUGUAUGUUAUAUUUUUAAGACACAAUGAUGAAAUAAAGCUGUGAAUAAUUUGAACACGA